rnacentral:guide_RNA from 1 species
AUAUAUAAAAUGAUAUAAUAUAAGUGAGAGUUAUAAGAUAGUGAAAAU